rnacentral:lncRNA from 1 species
AUUUUCUGAGAGUGAGCUCAGACUGGGGAGGCAGUGGAGUGGGUCCCUGGACACUGUUCUUGUCCUCUCUUGGGCUUCUCUUUCCACUGAAGUGUGUGUGUGUGUGUGUGUGUGUGUGUGUGUGUGUGUGUGUGUGUGUGUGUGUGUGUGUUGCGCCCUACCCUGAGAUGAGAGUAAGGCUAUUGCUUCCUGAUGCCCAUACCCCUUCCUGGGACAGGUUUGCUUCCUGGUUAAGGGGGGAGACCUUCCCACUCACAGGCCACAAGAUUCCCAUCUGGUCUUGCCUGGUUACCCGUGCUCUACUGGGAGAGGGGUUGUGAGGGCAGUUCUGCCAGUCCUUAGCUCUUUAUCUCUGAAUGCAUGAGCUGAAGGCUACCUCAGUACCUCCCUUGGUAUACCCUUGCUGAUAUGGACAGAUAAGAGGUGGAAAUUACCACCCAGCUCCUGUGUGUCAGAGAGUGGGCAUUGUGGGAGCUGUUGUCACCCUGGAGGAGACAUAGGUGGAGAAUUCCAUCUGGAGAGCAGAGCCAAGAACUGCUCUGAGUCACCCAGUCUGCAGUCUACAGAGCUGAGGCCAGCCAGGCUUGCUCAGAUCCUCAGCCUACAGGGAGUUAGCUCUCUCCCCUCAGGUUGCACAGUGAAAGCACAAGGGAAUUCAGUCAGGCUUAAAAUCUGAAGCCAGGGA